AUGGAACCAGCUAGCAGUACAGCAGCAAUAGACACACAGGACAUCUACCAAAAGAACAAGAGAGCAGGCCACAGCUAAGACGAAGCUAUGAGGGCAAAAAUCUGUUUCAGGAAAGAGGUCAGCACAGUAAAGAAAGAAGGUGGAGCAGACACAUGGGCAAAGAUUCCAGAGGGAUCUAGGAGCCUGAAAGGGGAGCCUUAUGCUUCAGAACUUCCCAACUUAAAUGUGCGGGAAGCAUCUGUACAAUUGCUUUCUAUGCUUCAGUCAUCAUCAGACUUCUGAGACACAAAUGAAGGACUGAUACCGUUACGUCGCAAGACAGCCUAUGAGUGAAGAGACUUCAAGUCAUGGUUUCGGGGGUCCUGAUACCAACAGGCACAGCAUUUAUUUAGCUUGUGUGAGGGCCUGGCUUCAAUCCCCAACCCGGAAGAAGAAACGCAUCAUGGAUCUGCUUAACUCAAAAAUAAACUCUGAAAAAUGCAAGAUGCUUGUAAAAAACAAACUUCUAUAAAGUCUCAGGCUAUUGACAAAUGCCUUGAAAACUUUACUUGAUGGUCCAGGAGGCAAAAAAAUACAGUGAAUAGACAAACAGAAGCACCACAGACUUGGGCUCAUCGAUAGAGUUUUAGUUUCCUGUCUAUAGCAUCAUACACAUGAUAUAUUGGUUAUUUGGUCAGCGUAAUGUAGUUGGUACUGACCACAGGACUUUAUCUGCAGUACUGCGAUGAUGUAAUAUACAAGCUUUCUGGACACACCAAUUACAAACCACACCUAGGACCACAAGCUGGAAGUUAACAAUGGAGCAUGAGUUUGGAUUUCUUAAGACAGGAACUUAACCAAACCACAUACCCCUGGGUUCUAGCCUCCCAUCCUCACCAGCCUAUGGAGGUCAGUCCCACAGAACACUCCACGGUGAGCCACAGUGUCUUCUCUAAGCCCCCUGGAGACUGAAUCAACCACCACAAAGCAACUCAAGACAGAUAGGUGACCAAACUUGGGGGAUUUCUGUUUAAACCACAUUUUUUUUUUCUCCUCAGAAAAUAUACUUACCAAGAAAGGAAUAAAACUUAUAAGCACUAAGAAGUGGCUAUAAAGGAACACCCAUAUGGCUAUCAACCAAAUUAAGCACACUGUCAACACCCUGGAAACACCCACUCCCUAAGUUCAACUGACACACCACUUCAGCCUUGGCAGAGAGUCUUUGCCAGGAUUUUAUCAGCCUGGAGAAGUGUUAAAAACUUUUCCCCAAAAUACUCCUUACCAUGUACCACAUGGCAUCCGUUGGUAU